UCCGGCGGAGGAGGGAGGAUCAUCCGCGGCGUCUCGCGUUUAAACCAAGCGCGAGGACAUGGGUGCGCAGCUGUGAAUUCGCCUUUUGCACGUCGUUCACCGAGCUCGCGCGCGCACCUCGACUAGCAGCAUCAGUCACAGCAAGUCGUUAUUCCUCAGCACUUGGGUGUCGUCUUUCCCUGCACUUUGGCGCGUUCGGGACUGAGGAAACAAAAAAUGAUGGACCAGGACAAGUACCUGCCCGAGCUGCUGGCUGAGAAGGAAAGCUUGGAUCCGUCGUUCGUGCAUGCGAUGCGCCUUCUGGCUGAAGAAAUCGAAAAGUACGAAGGCGACGAGCUUAGGAAAGACGGCGAGGUGAAGAAAUACCUGGAUGUCAUCAGCAACAAAAACAUCAAGCUGUCAGAGCGAGUGCUUAUUCCUGUGCAGCAGUACCCGAAGUUUAAUUUUGUUGGGAAACUGCUGGGGCCCCGGGGCAAUUCCAUGAAAAGAUUACAAGAGGAAACCGGAGCGAAGAUGUCCAUUCUCGGCAAGGGCUCAAUGAGAGAUAAAGACAAGGAAGAAGAGCUGAGGAAAAGCGGGGAGGCCAAAUAUGCCCAUUUGAACAACGAUCUCCAUGUUUUAAUUGAAGUCUUCGCACCACCCGGAGAGGCGUAUUCCCGCAUGAGCCAUGCCUUGGAGGAAAUUAAAAAGUUCCUGGUUCCUGAUUACAACGAUGAGAUCAGGCAAGAGCAGCUGCGUGAGCUGUCCUACCUAAACGGCUCCGAUGACCCAAGCAGAGGAAGGAGUGUCCGAGGACGUGGCAUACGGCUAACCUCCACAGCGGUGACACGGGGUCGAGGGGGAGCAGUGCCACCUCCUCCGCCCGGCCGAGGAGCCGUAGUGCCCAGGGGGUCUGUGGGUACACGUGCGUCCCUGCCCACUACUAUGCUAACUAGAGGCGUCUCAGCACCGCGGGCCAGAGGAACAACAGGGACUCCUGGAUUCAGAGCACCUCUGCUGCAGGCUACACACAAAACCUACGAUGACUAUGGUUAUGAUGAUGGAUAUGAUGGGGAAUAUGACGAACAGAGUUAUGAGGCCUACGACGAUGGUUACAGCAACCAGUCCAAAAGCGGUUCAGAAUAUUACGAAUAUGGCCAUGGAACCAAUGACGAUACCUACAACAAUUACGCAGAAGAGGAGUGGACUCAGCCGCGUGCAAUCCUCAAAGCUCCAGCUGCAAGACUUUCACGAGGGGGCUACAGAGAUCACCCCUAUGGUAGAUACUAAAGGUGCUCCACAUCAGUGAUCUCUCCUGCCCGGCAACCUUAUGUCUCUUUCCAUCAGCUGGGAUAGAGAUCAUCAGAAGGGAUUCGCUGCAGCGUGUAUGAACGACAGAGGGCUGAUAAAACCAGAGCAGAGAUGUAAUCUCACCUGUGAGAUGUGACAAUCAGCUCCACUCAUCAACAGCCUGCUGCUACCUGAAGGCCUGGCUCUUGUGGAGGCAGCCAGGGGAGAGACAUGUCCUCGCUGUCCUUUCCAGCAGACCAGAGCAGAUGAUCAGCCUCAAGGCCUUUUACUGAACCCAGCUGUCGAAAACCCCUCAGCAGGUACGGUAACUGUGUGCUGUUUGAAGAAGUUUCAGGAAACGUCCUACUCUACACAAGCUGUUUCUCCAUCAGUGUGUGAUUUCACAAGUUGCUG